rnacentral:pre_miRNA from 1 species
AUUCUACUCCCUUCGUUGCACAAUACAUGCCUUCUAUUUGUCAAAAUAUAUAUGUAUCUAGACAUGUCUUAGUAUAUAGGUACAUCCAUUUUUGGACAAAUGGAAGUCAAGUAUUUUGGAACGGAGGGAGUACAUA